AAGGCUGCGGCGGACCCGGCUGAAUCGAGGAUUCUCAGCUAGAAAGCAGAUUUGGGAUCGCAGAUUGGGGGUUGGCGCCAGGUGGGGUUGGGAGGAGCCGCGGCUCAGGAGCUGGUUGUUGGGGAUCUGAGAAGAAGUCACCGCCUUGAAGAAGUUCCUCGGCCUCGGGAGCCAGGGGCCAAGGAAGAGCAGAACCUCAGGUCCCGGGCUCCAUAGACCCCGUGGACACUGCUUCCGGGCACCGAAUCCAGGGCGUGAAACCGCGGAAGAUCCACAGGGCGGCUGUCAGGCGCGAUACCGCUGAGGUGGAGCUGCCUGGUGCGCGGGAGCGGAGACCUGGACACCCGGGGCAGGCCACACAGCCGGUCCCUACUGAGAGCUCAUUCUGCGAUGAAAACUACCGGGAAUCAUUUUCAGCAGGCGAAAAUUUCUCAGAACAGCCCUCAUGCUUCCUGUACAUUAUGGCUCAUCAGGUAUUGUCAGUAUUUUUCUUCAGCAAAAUAUUAAUGUCUUUACUCAAGAUAUGUGUGUAUGAGAUGCAGGAGAUUAUGCUAUUUAUUGUGGUUUGACAAGGUAAGUGUUUGUAUUAAAAGGCCAGUUAAUACUAAAUUGAUGUUUAAAAUAGUUGCAACCAUUGAAUCUUAUACAUUAGGUGAGGGUUCAUAGUUUGGUUCAGGUCAUUUGAAAUAGCAAGAGUUAGUCCACUUUUUAGCUAGAAAUCAAGCAGAAGGCUAGAUUAGUUAGAAAUAGAAUGCAAGAUUCUUUCAGGACUUUUAAGACCUUUAUACCUAGGGAUUUCAAUGUGGUUUAUUUUAUUCUAAAUGUAAUCCCCAUGCAUC